GGGCUGUUUUUUGGGCUGGUUUUAUUGGCCAUUGGGCUGGUUUUGUCACACAGACCUGGCAACCCUGAGUGAGAGACGACCUGCAGCAGCACACACACACCUGAGCCUCGCGCAGCGUCUUUUCGCGGCUCUUUUUCGGACCAACAGUUACACGAGAUGAUGAAGAAGACCACCAACUUCUUCCCAGGCAGGAAGGCGGUGUCGUUCCCAUCGGGCCUCCGAUGAGGCCAUGAGGAUUAAAACAGAACCCUCGCUUCAGGACAAAUCUCCUGCUCAGCUCCAGCAUCGCGUGAGCACCAAUGCUCUCACCGCGCUCCUUCACCGACAGGAGGUGAUGGGGGAGUACGUCCUGCAGUUUGGUAAAUACAAGGGGAAAUUAUUCAGAUGGCUCCUAGAAAAUGACAUUGGCUACGCCAUCUACCUGAUGAAAACGGUAGAAGAAGAGGAGAGACCUGCUCAGCCAGAUGAGCCCCUUGUGGCUAAAGCUUCAGUAAAAGCGACUGUGGGAUCGAAACUUUGUUCCAAAGCACAUGCAAAGCCAGCGUCCCACACCUCUUCUGCAGAGCCGGGGAUACCAGCAGCACCAUUCCUUCCUGGGGGCACAUGUUCUACUUUUCUUCAUUGCAAUGAGAAAGGAUAUUUAAAUGUUGAUUAUUUUAAUGUCUCACUUGCCUUUCCUGAUUUGAUCUCACUCCUCUCUAGAUUCACCAUCUCAGAAUAAGGCCCCUGUGGACACACGGAGACACACGGUCCUGGAUCAAGCUCCUCCCGUCUCUGUCGACGCGUCACCCCAGCUUGCAGCCUCUGUCCCUGGUCGUGAUCAGGAUGUGGCUCAGUGGCUCUCAGCAGCCGAGGUUGUGGAUGAAGGCGGAGCUAGAGGGGUUGGGGCUGUGGCCAGGGUCACGUCCAGUAUGCCACCUGAUGAACAUGCCGUCUGUGACGUCAUCCACCUCAAGCGGAGCUCAUUGACUCGAUCUCUGACCUGCCGUCCCUGAAGUAUUUCCAGCUUCACCCUUUUUUCAUCUGGAAGCCGGAGCACGCGCUCAUGGAGAGGGGACUGCUGUGCUGCCUUCAGGGUCCUGCAGGCUGGAGCUCAGGAGCAGCUCUUGUGGGACUGCUGGAGGACCUCAGAGGCAUCGUCUGGGAACCUGGAGAACACCAGCGCCUCAAGGACCAAGUUCAACAACGAUAGAACCAUCUAGUUGGACUUGUUCCACUGCAUGCGGCGCUUCAGUCUCGGAGCAUCACUCUCUCUCCACCUUUCUGCCAGUUCCUCUCUGCAGCCUUCCUCGUUGUGGACCAGGGAGAUCUCCAGAGGCUCAAGGAGGCGAACACCUUCUGUGGGAUCUCUCCUCCUAAUCCCACCAAGCUGCACAUGAGAGCGCUGCAGGUCCAAGGUGCCACAGCCCCGAGAGCUGCUGCAGAGGGUGGAAGACGUCCUCCAUCACUUCUACAUCUCAAAAGAUGUCAACCUGCUCCUCUACAAAUCCUCCAUGUUAAAGAUAUGAAGGAUGCAGCGUGUGCACAUCUUGAGAGGCUGCCUGAGCGACCCUGAGGUGGGGGAGGGAACCCUGUACAGGUUUGGUGGCACCUUGCAGCUGAACUACACCGAGGGAGAGGGAGCUGCUGCACCCAUCUGGAUCCCUGAGAGAGGCCCCUCUCAGCAGGAGGGCUUCCACUUCCACCAAGCCCAGUGGGUCACAGGGAACUGGGUUUCCUGUGAAGUAAGUAAGCGCAGGCCAUGACAGGUGGUGCGCUGGAACUUCCGGAGACUGGUUGACCUGAGGCUGCCCGGUGUGGAGCUGCCAGCCGUGUUCGACCCUGUGUUGAUAGCAGAGCUGAACAAUUUGUCUGCAAAGGUGACGGCAAAGGCAAAAUAUCCAGCGCUGCAGGUCACCAACGGAGACACAGGAGAGAGAUUCGGUCUGGACUAUGUGGAGCGUUGCUGUCGUCCUGUUCCUCUCAACUGGGACAAGCACAAGACACAGCCAAGCAUAGCCGCUGCGGUCGCCAAGGAGACGGAGCAUCCUGCAGCUGUAGAGGCCACAGACCGUCAGGAGACCAGUGCCACUGUGAGGGAAGCUCCAUCCAGUCUUGUGCCCAUCCUGUCCUUCCACGAGGGGUCUGACGUAAAGUUCCAGCCGCCCUGGAGGCCGUCGUCUGCUCCAGCACCGCUGCCCGUAUCCUCCUCUCCAUAUAGCCGCUCGCACCGGACCGAUGAAAACAGGAGGCAUCGUCCAGGUCCUGG